rnacentral:rRNA from 1 species
UACGGAGGGCGCUAGCGUUGUUCGGAAUUACUGGGCGUAAAGCGCACGUAGGCGGCUUUGUAAGUUAGAGGUGAAAGCCCGGGGCUCAACUCCGGAACUGCCUUUAAGACUGCAUUGCUUGAGUCCGGGAGAGGUGAGUGGAAUUCCCAGUGUAGCGGUGAAAUGCGUAGAUAUUGGGAGGAACACCAGUGGCGAAGGCGGCUCACUGGACCGGAACUGACGCUGAGGCGCGAAAGCGUGGGGAGCAAACAGG